GGACGACAACAAUUUCUUUCUUUUUGUCUCUAUUGGUCCCUCUCAAAACAAAUGCAUUUCUGUGACCAUUGACUACUCUGCCAUACAAAUGUCUGCUGCAUGCACCAUAUUGUGGGGUUUCAUUUUGUGCCUUCAAAAUUUACAGGUUCACUGCAAGUCUCGGUACAAAAAUCGAACGUGGCAGGCUCCAUCCUAAUAAGAACUGUUGGUCAGCGCUCUGUGCUUAAACAAAGAGCGGUUCCCUCAUUCCUGGCAGCAGGCUCCUCCGUCCAGCCAUGUACACCGCAAGGGACGACUGCCUCAAAGGGUGCGGUUCCCUCAUCCCUGGCAGCAGGCUCCUUCUUCCAGCCAGGUACACCACAGGGGACGAGUGCCUCGAAGGUGCGGUUCCCUCAUUCCUGGCAGCAGGCUCCUCCGUCCAGUCAUGUACACCUCCCCAGGGUCCAAUAGGUCAAUCAAUUCUUGGUGCUCCCCUUCUUCGUCAUCGGUUGCCCAGAUUCCUCGCCAGAAAUUAAUCACCUGAUCAACAUCAAUGUUCUCGUCCAUCUCCUUCUGGUCUUCGUCAAGUUUCCGGUAGAAGGCAGACCGAUUGAGCUCGAACAGCUUGUUCGUUUUCCGAUACACAAUCCGGUUUGCCGCAGUGGCUCGUUUUUUGUGAAAGACUGCCCUUUCCUCUUCGAUCUAGUCCUCAAGCUUCUUCAACUGGUCCUUAUUGUUAGAGUGGUACUGGUUGGCUUAGCAAAUUCGUUUUAAUGCUCUCGAGGGAGCCUUGUUCUGUAUGACUGGCGACAAUUUGCAGCUGUUGACUAAGCUCCUUUAUCUUUAAUUUAAUGGCCUCCUUCCAGUUCAACUUCCUUUUGUC